rnacentral:rRNA from 1 species
GACGAACGCUGGCGGCGUGCUUAACACAUGCAAGUCGAACGGUGAUGCGCCAGCUUGCUUGAGGGGAUCAGUGGCGAACGUGUGAGUAACAUGUGAGCAACCUGCCCCGGACUGUGGAAUAAGCGCUGGAAACGGCGACUAAUACUGGAUACGAAACUGGCCCGCAGGGGCAUGGUUUGGAAAGUUUGUCUGUUUGGGAUGGGCUCGCGGCGUAUCGGUUUGUGGGUGAGGUAAUGGCCCACCAAGGCGACGACGGGUAGCCGGCCGGAGCGGGCGACCGGCGGCAUGAGAACUGAGACGCCGACCAUACGCCUGAGACAGGGACCAGUCUCCUACGGGAGGCAGCAGUGGGGAAUCUUGCCCAGCGGGCGCGCGCCUGAUGAAGCGACGCCGGGUGUGGGAUGACCGCCUUCGGGUUGCAAACCUCUUUCAGCAGGGAAGAAGCGCAAGUCACGGUACCUGCAGAAGAAGCACCGGCUAACUACGUG